rnacentral:piRNA from 2 species
UGUCCCCAGACAGAAUCACUAAGUGCCAGA